AACGACCCUCGUCAGUGGGCAUGGGAUGGCAGCAAUGGCGCAGUCUUUGCUGAGACCGUUCUUCUUUUACAUCCAGACGAAGCUGCGAUUCAGGCCAGGAAGGCCGGGACAACAGGGAAAGAUGUCCGCGAAUCAAAGAGCCGACCAAAAACAAGACAAGCCUCACAGCCCAUCCAUGCUCAGGCUCUCUUUGCAAACGAGGAGGAAAGAGAGAGGCGUAUAUAAAAGAGGGAUCGGCGUCAGUCGGCUGCUGGAGAUUCUCCGUGGUUUCUCAGGGACGAGCCAUGAAAGUUCUGGUGCUUGCCUUGGCGUUCUCUUGCCUAGUCGCCACCGUUGUGGCGGGCGGUUUCUACCACUUCGGUGGUGGCUACGGAGGUGGCCACGGAGGUGGCCAUGGUUACGGCCAUGGUUACGGGCAUGGAGGUCAUGGAGGCCACGGCUUCGGAUCCAGCGGCCUGUUUUUCGUGAAAGGACCUGGUGGAUACGGCCACGGCUUCCACGGCCUCGAGGCUGUUAAGGGUCCCACGUACUUUGUCAGCACGGAACAAUACGUUAAGAAGAUUCACCCUGGGCUCGCCAUCGUUGGCAAGCACCACCGCUAGCAUCUUUGUAUGACCCAUCUCGCGAUCUUGAAAGUCAGCGUGCCGGUAUCACCCCCUGAGUGAAUCUUCUUGAGAGUAUGGACCGCAUGGCCAGAAGACUGAGGUUGCAUUAACUUGUUUGUUUGUAUUUUUAUCCUAACACAUAAACCAAAUCCCUACGGACUCAGUCGUCGCCAGCACCAGUUCUCACUUAAUCACUGUUUCAUGUUCAUUGUACGUCACAGUUUUGAAUGAUUUUACACUGUUGUAAAUAGUAUCUGCAUUAAAAAAAAGAAAAUCUUGUUAUAACAACCAUUCUCGUGUUUCGUGGACCUACGAAAGAAUG